rnacentral:rRNA from 1 species
AGUCUCGUAGUGACCUGCGGAGGGACAUUACAGAGACUCUGCCCUUUGGGUAGACCUCCCACCCUGUGUCGUUAUACCUUCGUUGCUUUGGCGGGCCGCGGGGCCCCGGCCCCGCCCCUGGCUCCGGCUAGGGCGCGCCCGCCAGAGGACCUCAAAACCUGAAUGUUAGUGUCGUCUGAGUACUAUAUAAUAGUUAAAACUUUCAACAACGGAUCUCUUGGUUCUGGCAUCGAUGAAGAACGCAGCGAAAUGCGAUAAGUAAUGUGAAUUGCAGAAUUCAGUGAAUCAUCGAAUCUUUGAACGCACAUUGCGCCCCUUGGUAUUCCGGGGGGCAUGCCUGUUCGAGCGUCAUUACAACCCUCAAGCUCUGCUUGGUCUUGGGCGUCACCGGUCCCGGUGUGCCUUAAAAUCAGUGGCGGCGCCAUCUGGCUCUAAGCGUAGUACAUACUCUCGCUACAGACGUCCGGUGGAUGCUGGCCAGCAACCCCCAACUUAUCAAGGUUGACCUCGGAUCAGGUAGGGAUACCCGCUGAACUUAAGCAUAUCAAA